UCCAGGAAGCUGGCCGUCCCUGCCCUCGAGCUGCCCAGUGGGAAUCUCCUUUUCCUAUUCCAGGCACUUCCAUAUCCUCAGUUACAUUUCAUUCUCUCAUCACAAUCCAGCAAAUGGGCAAGAUGAGCUCACGGACAAGCCCCCUAGCCCCACCUGCGCCACGGACCACCUGGCCAGAGAAUCAUAAGCUCAAGACAUCCUGGCUCCCAAAAGUGUGAUUAAGAAAUGUCACAGAAUGUCACAAGACAAGGAUUAAUCACAGUUCCUUUGUUGUUAACCUUUAAAACACCCUUAACUCGAAGACCAAGGUGGAGCGGAGGAGGCUUGGCUCCCGCCUCCUAGCUUGGUGCCCUGCGAAUAAAGCCUUAUUUUGCUGCGCACUCGA